UACGUAGGUGGCAAGCGUUGUUCGGAAUUAUUGGGCGUAAAGAGCUCGUAGGCGGUCUGUCGCGUCGGCUGUGAAAACUCGGGGCUCAACUCCGGGCCUGCAUUCGAUACGGGCAGGCUAGAGUUCGGUAGGGGAGACUGGAAUUCCUGGUGUAGCGGUGAAAUGCGCAGAUAUCAGGAGGAACACCGGUGGCGAAGGCGGGUCUCUGGGCCGAUACUGACGCUGAGGAGCGAAAGCGUGGGGAGCAAACAGG
rnacentral:rRNA from 1 species